AGCAGCCGCGGUAAUUCCAGCUCCAAUAGCGUAUAUUAAAGUUGUUGCAGUUAAAAAGCUCGUAGUUGAAUUUCGGGGUCAGUAGUUUGGUCGUGCCAAUGGUAUGUACUGGGCUCACUGAUUCCUCCUUCCUGAUGAACUGUAAUGCCAUUAAUUUGGUGUUGCAGGGAAACUGGACUGUUACUUUGAAAAAAUUAGAGUGUUUAAAGCAAGCUAACGCUUGAAUACAUUAGCAUGGAAUAAUGAAAUAGGACGUUCGAUCCUAUUUCGUUGGUUUCUAGGAUUGACGUAAUGAUUAAUAGGGAUAGUUGGGGGCAUUAGUAUUCAAUUGUCAGAGGUGAAAUUCUUGGAUUUAUUGAAGACUAACUACUGCGAAAGCAUUUGUCAAGGAUGUUUUCAUUAAUCAAGAACGAAAGUUAGGGGAUCGAAGACGAUCAGAUACCGUCGUAGUCUUAACCAUAAACUAUAGCCGACUAGGGAUCGGAUGAUGUAAUUUUUAAUGA
rnacentral:rRNA from 1 species